ACUGAGCGACAGGCAUUCGAAUCCACUUUGCCUGGACAUCUGUUACCUUUUUCUUAACACCAAUGCGCAUUUAUGUACUGUCUUGUAAAUUUCAUGUUGAAGUUGCAUAAUCAGGCGAGUACAAUUUGCCGUCAACAAAUUUAAAGUAUUGGAUUCGGGCAGAUUGGAAGGAGAUAACCGUGAUAUAGAAAAAGAUUUACUCGAUUAGAAUGUAUCCAAGGCAAUAUCUGAAGGAGGCAUUAUCUGUCUAGCAAGAGCUGAAUGAUAUGGGAUGGGAUGAUGGCUAUAACGACAACCAGUGGGAUUCCGUUCAGGGUCAAAGCCCUGUAAUGUACUACCUAAACUACGUUCUAGUGAUUGGCUGCCUCGUGAUUCUUGUCAGCGCUCUUUUUUUCAUCUUUCGAGAGUGUUGCCAAGGGAGCGAGAGCGGCGAAGAAAUGGAAACGAUCAUAAUGAGGUUACCGGAAGCACAGGUCCCAAGCUAUACCGAGUCAACAUGCGAGAGAGACCAGUCACAUUAUCACCGCAUCAUCCAUGAGUAUAACCACCAGUCGCAGGUCCCCUUCUCUCCUGGCUCUCAAGGGGCCCCUCGCCAUUACUACACCUACGAUCACAAACAUCCAACGACCUACUACAGUUAUCCCACCUCUUGUAACGCAGUGAGUAGCUCCACAUCUGCGACUGCCCCUUCCCAGCAGAACAACGCUUUAUCCCAGCCACCAUGCGAAGAUGAGAGACCACCUCCAUACGCUCCACACAAUUGAAGAGGACAUUGCUAAACAUAAGAGGGCAAGCGUAACAUAAUCGAGGACAACAACUGCAAAACAUACUGUUUAGGGUGAACGUUGUACAGUGGUAAAAAUAUUUUAAAGAAAUGACUGUUUGACUCUCAAAGAAGUUAAUAGGGGAGCACCAAAUUUAUGGAAUGUGUACGCGUAGUAGGCAUUAUUCCAGCGUAUUACUUAAAUUUUCGAGUGAUUCUCUUGAAAAACGAGCAACUGAAGAAAUGAAACUUAGACAAAACCAAAGCCACAUAAAACACAAAUAAACUUGCUGGCCUCUAAAGAGGAAUGGCAUUAAUUGUAGUAACGAAAAACAAAGCAAAACUUUACAAGAUGGUACUUAAAAUGUGACUACUAAAAUUCAUUUUUCUGUCGCCUGAAAAAGGACGACUGACUUCAUUUCCUGUGCCUUGGCCUUAAACUUCUAUUUUGUCACAUAAAGGUAAAUUAAUGCUACGUAAUGCACUUUGUUGUGUGUUACAGUGUCAUGUGUACAAAGGCGUAACUACAAGGGGGGACGGGGGCACGUGCCCCCAGCGGAUGUACAUCCCCCCCCCGAUUUGAAAUUUGUGAAUAACCUCCGUUUAAAUGCAGCUGCAGCUGUGCCCCAAUUGAAACAAUUCCCGGAUGCCCCCGGACAUUUAGCUCAGGUUACACCACUGCAUGCAUAGGCCUACACUUCGUUGUGCACAAAAGUGCUCACCCACAUAAUAUGCACAUUCUUGAUCGAAAUUUUGUCUAUGUUGUCAAUGUAAAAAUAAUAUCCUCUGUAUUACCCCCUUUUUUAGUAUUUUGCAUAUAUCACUUAUAUUACGUAUAGGAAGAUUCAAGACAAGCUGUUGGAAUGUUUUCACACACAACAGUCACCACGGAAACUGAAACAUUGGAUAGUACAGUGAGACUGUUUAGGCUGAGUUUUAACUUCAAGUAUUUUGCGCAGGAUACAUAACUGGCGGGACACAUUACUUGGAAAUUGUCAGCACUAGCAGGGGCCGAUCCAGGAAUUUUUCCGGGGGGGGGUCAGGCUAGGGAUUUUUUUUGGCAAACAAGCGGAAACAAUGGUGAAACAUUAUAUGGAAUAUAUUGCUUACAAUGGUAUUUGGCCUACACAUUUUGAAGAAUAUACAGGAUGUUACCUUGUUUUCAAAUUUACGUUAGUUAUUUUUUAUUAAUUUCCCCAUUGUUAUUACCUUUUUUGUUUCAGAGCAGGGGAGAUCGACCCCCGGGUCUGCGCCUGACUACAUUACCUUCACAUUUUCCACAUUUCAUUCGUUAUUAAAAAAGAGCUGCCAUGCAAUGUUUGGUUUUGCCCAGGCCAUCACUAGGACCGUAAAGGAGCCCUUGUCCCUUUCCGCCUCCCCUGGAAUAAAAUGUAAAAACAAAAUAUUAAAAAGAGGGGAAAAGAGAAAAGAAAGAGCAAACGAACCGAAAAGGGACGAAGUGGGACGAAAAGCACCAAUUCGUUGGACGAUACCACAGAAUAGACCAACUUUCACCGUUAAUGGUUUUGUCAUUUUGCUGCCUAUGCCCUGGAAAAAUAUCCUGGUCUUGGCUAUGGCUUUGCCACUAAACUUAUUCUCGCUUCAUCAUAAUCUUGAUGACUACAAUUUUCUGUCACUACUCUUUACAAUCUUGUAAACUGGUGACAGAAAAGCAAAACUUUACAGAAAUUAAUUGAUUGCCUCUUAAUCUGUCUCAUCCUUCCGAAGAACUAAUGGCAUACAAUUCUUUAAAUCUUGCGAAGCAUUACACGGAACGCUUGUGUUGAGUAAUUAUUUGAAGUGUUGAUACACAACUGAAGGCUUGAAUUACAAGGGGAAAAGAUACUUGCCUGCGGUAUCCAUAAAGCGACUAGAAGUAUCCCAAAUGCCACGUGCACUUCUGUGGCAAGGGUAUUAAAAUCAUACGUGCUUAAAUCUUAUUUGUGAUUCACUAAGAAAUUGUUACAUUUUAUAUUAUUUGGGUUUAUGCAUUUCUGAUUGAACGAGUUGCAAAGAAAAAUGUCAAGAAUACCAUAAAUAAUGUACGGUUUUUAAUGAACCGCAAACUUGGAAAGAAACACGAAUAACACCUUGGAUGCUGUGAAUUUGUUUGUGCUUCACACUCUUGAUCGAGUAUCGGAAGAAAAGUAGCAUGGACGUGUCGUUGUCCAUACGGCAUGGCAUGUCAGUAUGUUAAUGUCUGCUUGUACCUGAACUUAGAUCAGGUGAAGUCAUUUUGUGUUUUAGAUAAAACUCAGCAAAGAGUAACUCAAUUCUGGAAAGACUAGUACUGUGCUAAUGUAUCCUUUUGAAUCGUGGUCGGUUUAUUCUUAGAUGUUAGGUAUGUCACACCACAUAACUGAAUUUCCUGCUCCGUUUUCCAUCCAGAGUGCUUCCGUUAAUAUAAUAAGCGGAAUUCCAGCGACAACAACAUGGCCUCGACAAACGUCGUCAACACAGCAUGAGCAAGUGAAAAAGACCCUCCAAGAAACUGAAUUACCGAGACAUUUUUGGGUCAUUGUUAUAGCCGGUCCUUUCAGUGCUUGUCUGUAUAUUCCAGUCGGUUGGAUUUCCCGUACAUCCAUCACUGCAGUAUACCCGUAAUUUCAUAGCAGAAAGGGUGGUUAUUGUUUGCUGAUCUUUGUCCCAGGCUUCGAUUCAAUGAGAGGUAAAUGCACAGAUAUCAGUUUCUGAGACCUCUCCGAGAAUAUCAAUAAAGUAUUGGAUGAUAUGGAAAAUAAAAGCUGAAUUUAUCCACAAAAUACGUUUAUUACUGAUUACAAUGAGAUUUUAUGGGCACAGUUGUUUAUGCCAGAAACUUAAGCUCACACAUUCGUAUUUCUGUAGCUUUCCUCUUUUCCUGGAGGAUGCAACUACAUUAAAUACUUUGAUUUACAGACUGACAGCUGUCACAAUUUAAAACUCAAACAAACAAAGAAAACAAAACAAAAUAAACUUUCAAGUUGUAUGUUUGAUGUUUUUUCUUUUGUUUGUUUUCAAUUCAAAUUCAAACGAUUGAAUAUGAGACAACUCACUAUUCAAGCAGCCAUCUAUCUAAUUUCUUAAGUUAUAAAAAUGAAACUGACAACAUUGUGUACUUCAUUACGUAAUGGCUAACCAAAUAUGUUUCGAUUUAUGGAUAUGUAGUGGCAUCUAUCCUCAACCAAAGAACAUAAUGACUGACUUUAGUUUGUUAAACCCUUAUCUUUAUGUUACACCAGCAUUCCCCUCUGCCAAAUGCUCGUAGAUAUAAUCUCCCGCCACACACGAGACAUGCUGAAGACAGUAAAAUUCGAAAACCUUUCACAUCGACUGUUUAUAAACUGCUAUAAUACAAACCAAGUUUUCCACCCUUUUUGAGCAGACUAAUAAUUCACUGUGGUUGUCUGAAGCAUAUAGCAAUAUCAUGGAGCUCAGUGAUUUAUUGGACCCCUAUAGGCCUGUAUCAAUUUGGCCGCGUGAAUUAAAUGUAUAGAGUAGAAACAGGAAAGGCGCUGCGUUUCAUUUAACUUCAAUUUCUGCAGGCCGACACUGAAAUAUCUAGUCUACCAUCCGCAGUUCCUCCUAGAUCUAAAAUGAAUUUUUUUCACUUGAGUAAGAAGAAGCAGUAAGUGGCCAAACUAGUCUGGCCAAUGCAAAAAUUUUAUAUUGCCCGAGCAGUGCUUUAAGUCUGCAAUGACAAUUCGCUUUUCCUGUCACCCCAGAGUGCCAAAUAACCUUUUCCAUGUUAGUGCACCAGACUACGUGGAGAAUAAAUGGCUUCCCAUAUUCUGAAUGGCUUACUCAAUUAGAGUGAUUUUAAUUGCCAAUUUUCAUCCGUUCAACCAUUUCGUUUACUGUCAGUUUACGUGUUAACGGGCAGAACUGGGCUGACAGCUUGAAGCUCGGAAAAACCAACAAGAAUUCUGAAAACUGCUUAGUCUACCUACCAAGACACCAUUUUCAGAAAAAAGCAGUGCUUCGUAUUUUGUGGUUUGGUUUCCACAUAACCAGUGCGCUUAAUGAUUGUAUCCAAGAAGUUUGGAUUUGAAAUGUAUAUAUCAGCGUAUGGGAAUGGAUACUACUGGACACAAUGACAGCGAUGGAUUUCUACCAUUAACGCGAAAACGAGAGUGUCUUCACUAAUGUACGAAUGUGCAAUCGCAGCGGAAAACUCUAGGAAAUUUUGUAUGACUUGCAUAGGUAUUGACAUCCAUCAAAGCAACGGUUACCUUAACGGACACGGGUCCUGUAGGGAGACAUAACAGCCGCAGCACCCCGAGGUAGCUGGAGAUACAGCAGAUAUUGUGAAGUUUUAAGAUCAAAGGCGGAGAUAUUUCAACAAAAUUUCAUUUUGUGUAUUAUGUUUCUUAACUCGCAGCUGGAUCCCACCCCCCCCGCAUGUGGCCAUGCAAUGAUAUCUUUCCCUUUUACGUUAUAAUUUAAAGACACCCUCCUCAUCAUGUACGAGGGUUUAACCUGUUUGGGCCAAGCAUUUUGUAAUUAUAAGGUCACUACAAGUUCAGGCCACUGUCCCUUGUUAAGACUUGACUGUUCAUGCAGUGACAACGAAAAGGCUCAAAGUUUCAGCUAACAGUCAACAGUAUACGUGCACCGCAAAACAAUUAAUCUGAUUAAAAUAUGGAGUGGGGAUUUUGGAAAAUUGCAGAGGAUUUGAGUUUAGCUUUGGAUUUUGAGAUCCAAAGUGUAAUAAUGAAACUGGUAUGGUUCUUUGAUAAAAGUAUAGUCCGUGAUCUUGGUGUACAGUAUGCAUGUUAUCAGAUGUAAGAAACUUCCAGUCGGUGUUUGAAGAUGAAGGAGUGAUUUUACGAUUUUCACCCGUUUCCUUCCCUGUCCGUGUAUCCUUCUUUCCAAGUUUAUUGGCUGUGAUUUCCUCUGUUUAUAUUAAGGGUGGAGACAGGCUGCAAAUGGGACAUUUUCGAGAACUUGUUGUUAUGAAAUUGUUCUUGUUUCUUUUCCACUUGUUUUUUGUUUGUAAUUUGGGGGUAGGGUUCUGACCUAGCCUAGUCUGGCUUCACUCCAUCAUCACCCUCGUUUCCAUGACAUUAUUUGAGUUUCGCUUAAAAGACCUCUAAACAUCAGAGGUGUGCAAUGCAAUGGACAUAAAAUGGACAGUGCUCCGACUGGAAAUAAAAAUGCAUUUUUUCCUGA